rnacentral:misc_RNA from 1 species
AACGCACAUUGCGCCCCCUGGUAUUCCGGCGGGCAUGCUUAUUUGAGCGUCAUUUCUACCCUCAAGCUCUGCUUGGCAUUGGGUGGCGGCCUCCUCACCCGGGGCCCCCCCGAAAAUUAGCGGCGAUGCGGCCGGGCUCCCAGCGCAGUGACUUUUUAUUCUCGCUGAUUGGACCCCCGGGCGACACCCGCCGGACGGACCCAAAUUCGAAUUCUUUCAAGAUUGACCUCAAAUUAAGUAGGGAUACCCGCUGAACUUAA